rnacentral:rRNA from 1 species
AUCCAUAGGUUAAUGAGGCGAACCGGGGGAACUGAAACAUCUAAGUACCCCGAGGAAAAGAAAUCAACCGAGAUUCCCCCAGUAGCGGCGAGCGAACGGGGAGGAGCCCAGAGCCUGAAUCAGUGUGUGUGUUAGUGGAAGCGUCUGGAAAGGCGCGCGAUACAGGGUGACAGCCCCGUACACAAAAAUGCACAUACUGUGAGCUCGAUGAGUAGGGCGGGACACGUGGUAUCCUGUCUGAAUAUGGGGGGACCAUCCUCCAAGGCUAAAUACUCCUGACUGACCGAUAGUGAACCAGUACCGUGAGGGAAAGGCGAAAAGAACCCCGGCGAGGGGAGUGAAAAAGAACCUGAAACCGUGUACGUACAAGCAGUGGGAGCCUCUUAAUGGGGUGACUGCGUACCUUUUGUAUAAUGGGUCAGCGACUUAUAUUCUGUAGCAAGGUUAACCGAAUAGGGGAGCCGAAGGGAAACCGAGUCUUAACUGGGCGUUAAGUUGCAGGGUAUAGACCCGAAACCCGGUGAUCUAGCCAUGGGCAGGUUGAAGGUUGGGUAACACUAACUGGAGGACCGAACCGACUAAUGUUGAAAAAUUAGCGGAUGACUUGUGGCUGGGGGUGAAAGGCCAAUCAAACCGGGAGAUAGCUGGUUCUCCCCGAAAGCUAUUUAGGUAGCGCCUCGUGAAUUCAUCUCCGGGGGUAGAGCACUGUUUCGGCAAGGGGGUCAUCCCGACUUACCAACCCGAUGCAAACUGCGAAUACCGGAGAAUGUUAUCACGGGAGACACACGGCGGGUGCUAACGUCCGUCGUGAAGAGGGAAACAACCCAGACCGCCAGCUAAGGUCCCAAAGUCAUGGUUAAGUGGGAAACGAUGUGGGAAGGCCCAGACAGCCAGGAUGUUGGCUUAGAAGCAGCCAUCAUUUAAAGAAAGCGUAAUAGCUCACUGGUCGAGUCGGCCUGCGCGGAAGAUGUAACGGGGCUAAACCAUGCACCGAAGCUGCGGCAGCGACACUAUGUGUUGUUGGGUAGGGGAGCGUUCUGUAAGCCUGUGAAGGUGUACUGUGAGGUAUGCUGGAGGUAUCAGAAGUGCGAAUGCUGACAUAAGUAACGAUAAAGCGGGUGAAAAGCCCGCUCGCCGGAAGACCAAGGGUUCCUGUCCAACGUUAAUCGGGGCAGGGUGAGUCGACCCCUAAGGCGAGGCCGAAAGGCGUAGUCGAUGGGAAACAGGUUAAUAUUCCUGUACUUGGUGUUACUGCGAAGGGGGGACGGAGAAGGCUAUGUUGGCCGGGCGACGGUUGUCCCGGUUUAAGCGUGUAGGCUGGUUUUCCAGGCAAAUCCGGAAAAUCAAGGCUGAGGCGUGAUGACGAGGCACUACGGUGCUGAAGCGACAAAUGCCCUGCUUCCAGGAAAAGCCUCUAAGCAUCAGGUAACAUCAAAUCGUACCCCAAACCGACACAGGUGGUCAGGUAGAGAAUACCAAGGCGCUUGAGAGAACUCGGGUGAAGGAACUAGGCAAAAUGGUGCCGUAACUUCGGGAGAAGGCACGCUGAUAUGUAGGUGAAGCGACUUGCUCGUGGAGCUGAAAUCAGUCGAAGAUACCAGCUGGCUGCAACUGUUUAUUAAAAACACAGCACUGUGCAAACACGAAAGUGGACGUAUACGGUGUGACGCCUGCCCGGUGCCGGAAGGUUAAUUGAUGGGGUUAGCGGUAACGCGAAGCUCUUGAUCGAAGCCCCGGUAAACGGCGGCCGUAACUAUAACGGUCCUAAGGUAGCGAAAUUCCUUGUCGGGUAAGUUCCGACCUGCACGAAUGGCGUAAUGAUGGCCAGGCUGUCUCCACCCGAGACUCAGUGAAAUUGAACUCGCUGUGAAGAUGCAGUGUACCCGCGGCAAGACGGAAAGACCCCGUGAACCUUUACUAUAGCUUGACACUGAACAUUGAGCCUUGAUGUGUAGGAUAGGUGGGAGGCUUUGAAGUGUGGACGCCAGUCUGCAUGGAGCCGACCUUGAAAUACCACCCUUUAAUGUUUGAUGUUCUAACGUGGGCCCCUUACCGGGGUUGCGGACAGUGUCUGGUGGGUAGUUUGACUGGGGCGGUCUCCUCCUAAAGAGUAACGGAGGAGCACGAAGGUUGGCUAAUCCUGGUCGGACAUCAGGAGGUUAGUGCAAUGGCAUAAGCCAGCUUGACUGCGAGCGUGACGGCGCGAGCAGGUGCGAAAGCAGGUCAUAGUGAUCCGGUGGUUCUGAAUGGAAGGGCCAUCGCUCAACGGAUAAAAGGUACUCCGGGGAUAACAGGCUGAUACCGCCCAAGAGUUCAUAUCGACGGCGGUGUUUGGCACCUCGAUGUCGGCUCAUCACAUCCUGGGGCUGAAGUAGGUCCCAAGGGUAUGGCUGUUCGCCAUUUAAAGUGGUACGCGAGCUGGGUUUAGAACGUCGUGAGACAGUUCGGUCCCUAUCUGCCGUGGGCGCUGGAGAACUGAGGGGGGCUGCUCCUAGUACGAGAGGACCGGAGUGGACGCAUCACUGGUGUUCGGGUUGUCAUGCCAAUGGCACUGCCCGGUAGCUAAAUGCGGAAGAGAUAAGUGCUGAAAGCAUCUAAGCACGAAACUUGCCCCGAGAUGAGUUCUCCCUGACUCCUUGAGAGUCCUGAAGGAACGUUGAAGACGACGACGUUGAUAGGCCGGGUGUGUAAGCGCAGCGAUGCGUUGAGCUAACCGGUACUAAUGAACCGUGAGGCUUAACCUU